rnacentral:rRNA from 1 species
CGUAGGGAGCAAGCGUUGUUCGGAUUUACUGGGCGUAAAGGGCGCGUAGGCGGCAAUUCAAGUCACUUGUGAAAUCUCCGGGCUUAACUCGGAACGGUCAAGUGAUACUGCUUUGCUAGAGUGCGGAAGGGGCAAUCGGAAUUCUCGGUGUAGCGGUGAAAUGCGUAGAUAUCGAGAGGAACACCUGAGGUGAAGACGGGUUGCUGGGCCGACACUGACGCUGACAGCGCGAAAGCCAGGGGAGCAAACGGGAUUAGAUACCCCGGUAGUCCUGGCCCUAAACGAUGAAUACCUGGUGUCUGGAGUUAUUAGUGCUCCGGGUGCCGUCGCUAACGUUUUUAGUAUUCCGCCUGGGGAGUACGCUCGCAAGAGUG